rnacentral:rRNA from 1 species
UACGAAGGGGGCUAGCGUUGCUCGGAAUCACUGGGCGUAAAGGGCUCGUAGGUGGCCAACUAAGUCAGACGUGAAAUCCCUCGGCUUAACCGGGGAACUGCGUCUGAUACUGGAUGGCUUGAGUUUGGGAGAGGGACGCGGAAUUCCAGGUGUAGCGGUGAAAUGCGUAGAUAUCUGGAGGAACACCGGUGGCGAAGGCGGUUCUCUGGGCAUUACCUGACGCUGAGGAGCGAAAGUGUGGGGAGCGAACAGG